rnacentral:rRNA from 1 species
CACGUAGGGGGCAAGCGUUUGUCCGGAUUUAUUGGGCGUAAAGAGCUCGUAGGCGGCUCGGUAAGUCGGAUGUGAAACCUCCAGGCUCAACCUGGAGACGCCAUCUGAUACUGCCGUGGCUUGAGUCCGGUAGAGGAGCAGGGAAUUCCUGGUGUAGCGGUGAAAUGCGCAGAUAUCAGGAGGAACACCAGCGGCGAAGGCGCUCUGCUAGGCCGUAACUGACACUGAGGGACGAAAGCUAGGGGAGCGAAUGGG